GUCUGUUUUAAAGUUUAAAAAGGUGUCAUAGGAUGCGUGCGUUCCGGUCAGAGCAACCCCAUUAUCAGCGGGAUUGGAUUUAUUCAGUCCUCUCGAUUGUACAAUCGCCCCACAAUCAAAAUAAUUGAUAAAUACGGGACUGCAAGUGGAAAUUCCUGGAGGAUCUUUUUUGAAGAUUGAAGCUCGGUCAAGUUUGGCUUUGAACUAUUCCAUUCUUUGUGGAGCUGGUGUUAUUGAUGAAGACUAUCGGGGCGAAGUUAAAAUUUUAUUAUUUAAUAUUAGU